UAUUAUAUGAAUGAAAUCAAAGAGUAAUGAUUUGGUUUAAAAUGUAAAUCACUUUCUGAAACGAAAAGUGAUGAAAAUGAAGCUGAGGGAGCGCUUGCCUCUGUUUUAAAAGUACUGCAACAGAUCCACACUCUGUUCUUCGACCCGGAACACAGGGACAAUAUUAUGAAACGAGAUGUUAGGCAGGUGCUGAAACAAGUGCGGAAGGAAAUAUUGAAGGGUUGUAAAAUCGUCUUCACCCAGGUAUUUCCUACACAAUUCCAAGCAGAAAAUCACCACUUGUGGAAAUUGGCUGAGCAAUUAGGAGCCACAUGCUCCACAAAAGUCGAUCAAUCGGUGACACAUGUGGUCUCCAAGAUGGAUUGAAGCUGCUAAUUAUUUAUGGCGAAAGCCGUCGGAAGAAAACUUCCCAGUCAGUUCCUAACAAUUUGCUAACCUUAGUUUUGAAUAGGGAAUAUAGUGAUUGUAAAUUGUAGUAUAAUUCUUUCAGGUUUAUUUCACUACCAAAAUCAUCUGAUUAUGACAAAAAAUUAGUUCAUGGGGGAAUCAUCUGAUUUGAUGCUUGAUUGUCUUUCUCAAACUUUCUUUGAAUAUAGUCUAGACAUUGGAUCUUGCUUUUCUA